rnacentral:rRNA from 1 species
GACGAACGCUGGCGGCGUGCUUAACACAUACAAGUCGAACGGAAAGGCCCUGCUUUUGUGGGGUGCUCGAGUGGCGAACGGGUGAGUAACACGGGAGUAACCUGCCCUUGACUUUGGGAUAACUUCAGGAAACUGGGGCUAAUACCGGAUAGGAGCUCCUGCUGCAUGGUGGGGGUUGGAAAGUUUAGGCGGUUGGGGAUGGACUCGCGGCUUAUCAGCUUGUUGGUGGGGGAGUGGCUUACCAAGGCUUUGACGGGUAGCCGGCCUGAGAGGGUGACCGGCCCCAUUGGGACUGAGAUACGGCCCAGCCUCCUACGGGAGGCAGCAGUGGGGAAUAUUGCACAAUGGGCGGAAGCCUGAUGCAGCAACGCCGCGUGCGGGAUGACGACCUUCGGGUUGUAACCCGUUUUCGCCUGUGACGAAGCGUGAGUGACGGUAAUGGGUAAAGAAGCACCGGCUAACUACGUG